GACGGAGGAUGCAAGUGUUAUCCGGAAUCACUGGGCGUAAAGCGUCUGUAGGUGGUCAAAUAAGUCAACUGUUAAAUCUUGAGGCUCAACCUCAAAACCGCAGUCGAAACUAUUAGACUAGAGUAUAGUAGGGGUAAAGGGAAUUUCCAGUGGAGCGGUGAAAUGCGUAGAGAUUGGAAAGAACACCGAUGGCGAAGGCACUUUACUGGGCUAUGACUAACACUCAGAGACGAAUGCUAGGGUAGCAAAUGGG
rnacentral:rRNA from 1 species